AACACAAUAAAUACAAAUAUAAAAUAUUAUAAAAAUUGGCGUUACGGGCAACAUGCUUAUGAUUGAUAUGUAUUUAAAAAAUAAAUAAAAUACAUAUAUCAAUCAAGAAAUUAAAUUCACAUUAUUCGAGCAUCUAUCGCUGCAACUGCAAUAGACGAUAGAGUGUAGAUGUAUAAAUGUGACUUCAAAUAACUUAGACCAUAAGGAGAAAGUUACGAGCCGCUUGAUUAUACAUCUAUCAGAAACAUAACUCGUAGAGUUUUGAAUGAAACCUCAAACAAUGUGAACUUAAUAGCAAAGAGAGCCUUUAAAAGAGAGUAUUGACAAGAGCUUGAAGCAUAAUUCGAAGAACACUUGUUACUUCGAAAUAUUAUACCUCUCUACGCGUGACAUGUUGAGCGCUGGCCCAUCCCAUGUCAAACAUAGGUAACUCAAGUAUAUUAAUACCUACUCUUAAAUUUUAUACCUGCAUGUUGAGCGCUGGCCCAGCCCAUGCUUAGAGGGUAUGGGCUCACUUUGCAACCUGAGACGGAUAACCUCGAGUGAAAAAAACAUUUGCACACUAAAACAUGUAUCCAAAAGAACUGUCAAAUGGACAAACAAAUGAUUCGUUCACCCGACGAGAGGGCUGCCUAGUUACCCGUUUUAUUCAGGGCUGCCUGAGAACUCAGGUAAUAAUUUUGUGACAAGUAAAGAAUGGGUAAAAUCCAUUAUUACAUUGCCCAAACGAAAUGUGUUACACAUACAUGCUGCCCUUGUAACGCAUUGAGUAUCCCCAAAAUUAUUCCGAGAUAGUGAUUGUGCUAAAAUAGUUAUGUGUACGGUAAAAAAA
rnacentral:lncRNA from 1 species